GUAUUACGAGCCAACCAGCCAAUUCGCCCCCAACCUCUUCCAUCUCUUCUGUAGCAUUCGCUUUGUUUCUUACUUUCUUCCAUGGCUUCUACCGACAUCCUUUUCCCAGGCCGGGGGUCUCCUGCUCCCCCUCCCUGGCCACGCCCAGCGGCCUUGCACGGCGUCUCCGCCUCCUCCUCUUCCGUUUCCCUGCCGCGGUGGUCGGCCGCGCAACUACGCGCGCCCACGAAACCCUAGCCCCGCCAUGGGCUUCGUCACCGCCGCACCUCCAGCUCCUCCUCCUCGUGGAGCACGUCUUCGCCUGCACCUCCUCCUCAACCUCCCCGAGAUCCUGCCGACAUCGACGUCGACGACCGCCUCCUGGAACCCCGCGUCGACCACAUCAUGCCCCACCACCCUCUGGCGUCCCCGAUGGUGUGGUGGUCUGGUGCUGGUGCUACUGCCUCCUGGGCUGGCCGUCGUCUCCCGAUCUUAGUGCGGCGGUCCCCUCAUGGAAAAUCUACGCGAAUCAGUGAAUCUUGGUGCGGACGCAGAGGAGGAGCCCCGCGUAGCCUACGGUGCUGAUGAUGUUCAACAACUCGCCGAUGAACUUCAGCCUGGCAUCCACGCUGGCGCGUGUCGUGUUCAAGUGGCCGUUCCCGCCGCCAUCUAUGGUGAACCUGUAUUGGCGCACUCCUGCCACGGCGGCCGACGAAGCCCAACGAGGCAUCCAUCAGUGAGGCAGGACAAGAGAUUUGUUUUUCGAGAACUUCUUCGCCAAGUACAGGAUCGGUUAGAAGGUCGACAGCGGCCACUUCGGCUACACGUGCGCCUUCAAGGCCAGGAAGGCAAGCAAAAGGGCCAGGAUGGUCACCAAGGUCAUUCCCAAGGCAAAGGUCAGAUGUUAUUUGUCCCAGAUUAUGGCAAUCGCUAUGUGCUCACCUGAAAUCAGGUUAAUUGAUCAUGAUUUCUGUGUCAUAUGUACCAUAUAGUUUAGAUCAGUUUUGUGACUAUUUGGCUGUGCAAAUUUGAUGUGCUACAGAUUCCUUCCCUUCUUCUGGAUAUGUUUUGGCUUAGAUGAGUUCAGAUGACUGGCCAGCCUAAUUUUCUUGCCUUCAUAACCUGUGAAAUGUUGUGCGAGAACUGAGAAACCCCUCAGUAUGAAUUGACCAUUCUUUCCUCUUCAGCAAUUAGCCAUUGAUUACCAUUCACUAUUGCGCUAGCUAUUAUAAAAUAUAAUGCAGUGAACACAGAUCCUUUGCACAGGCACUGCAGACACCAUUCAAAAGCUAUUCGCCUGACAUGCUGCGUCUGGUUGACCGAUAUGAACGCUGAUUACUCGGUCGCACUGCAAGUCGGCGUUCCGGAUAAUUCGUGGAAGCUGUGAAGCGCACGAGGAGGUGGUCGGUUGGCGCCGUUGUCAUUGUCAAGACAGCCCAAGUGUGCUCUCUUCUUGAUUCCCUGCAUCCGGUGAUCUUCCGCUCUGUUUCCAGCCCACAGUUACACCGUGACUUCGCCGCUUGGAGCCUUCGGCUGCCCUGUGUCCCUGGCUCCCUGCUUUCCAUCUCUGGCCAAGAGUUCAGAGCUGUCAGCGCCUUUGUAUUUUGCACUGUCUGAUGCCGGACCGUACUGAUCUUAGUUAAUACUCUGGCUUGCAUCUCCGACAUGCACAGCCGCGGCACCGCCGAUGAGCAACCUGCUCAUGUUGGACUGUAGCACUCAUAUUAUUUGUUUUGAGGUAAAUAAAUCUCCUCCAUAAGAGAUUCUUUGCUUUAGUUUCCAAUAGCAAUUAGUGUGCAUAUAUAUGUUUUGAGUGGCUGCAGUUGUUUCCUGUCAUUUUGCAUUUAUAUAUGGGCUCAAGUUGGUGUAUUCACUUAGCUAACACGUAUUGUGACAGCUCACGUUAUCUACAAAGUGUCAUUUUUUCUUGCUCAUGGUGCAUCUAUGAUUGCAGCAGCUACAGAAAUUUUCUUAAAUUAAGCUCAAUCCUUUAUAUCCAUAGAGCAAACAUUUUGAAUUUAAAUGCAUUUCAAGCAUAAGUCAAUUCUUACAUCGUCUCUUGACCUGAUAUGUUGAUAGAGAUCAUUCGUUCUCACUUUGGCACUAUUUGCUAAUAGAAAAUGUUUGUCUGACGCCUCGAUCAUAAAUGAGAUGAGCUUUGCUGAACUUCAGGUAUUAGAAAACAUCAAUGAGGUAAGGAGGGCCAAACAUGGACCUAAAACCUUAUAUAUCUUUUCGUAAUAGUUGGAUUUUAGAGAGCCUUUUGCAUAAAGAUAAAACUUAAAUCUAUGCAAAUCAUAUGUGUUUAGAGGCCAGUAAAGAGUGUUCCAGACUAUCCUUUUCAGUUCUUUUUGAUUUUCAUUUGUCUCUAACAUACAAUCUCUAUUAUGAAAUUGUCUGAUGUUCUUAGUCAUGUAUAGUAGUAUUUACAUUUGAAUGCAAGACAUAAUUAUGUUUUUAUCAUGGGUUGUUGGCGUCCUCUGACAAGGCUAAUCCUGGGAUUAAUUUUUCAGAGGAUUCUACAUGUGGCCCUUGUAUAUGCUGAGAAAAACUGCUUAAACUUAAGCGAUCUGAAGUCAUAGAAAGUGCACUUCUGUUCUUUCUACAUAAUUACCCACCAUUGACUUGCUAAAUGAACAAUGCAGUUUGUGCCCAUUUGAGCUUUGAGUAGUCCACUGUAUAUAGUUUUCUUCUGGUGACUUUUGUCUGUUCACCUAGGUAAGCCGCAUUACCUAAAAGCUCAAGAUUUAUGUUAGAUUUCGAGUUUUGAAAAUAUGUUUCCAUAUGUUCUUAAAAUUCAAAGUAGUGGAACUUCAUACUUACGUGGCCAUCAAGUUUUUCAGUCCUGCAUGUGUUGCAUUAUCUAGCGUACUAGAUACAUUUUGUCGUUGUUGUUAUUAGCUCAGGGAACUUUGCAUCGUGGCCUAACAUUUGAACUGUUUUGUAGCACUGCCGUGCUUACUGCUUAGUCAGUCCUCACACCCAUAUGUACUUGCAUCAUUGGCUAAUUUCGUAGACAUGCUAGCUGGAGUUCUUACUCGGUUUUCUGGUCAACAUUGGAGCAGAACUGAUGCAACCCUUAUUGUGCAUACCACGACAUUGGUGAGCAGGCCCAGCGAACAAGCUGCAGAUAAGCAAAAUGAUCUGGAGUCCAUUGGAGUAUACGAGAAAGUUCAUCGUCUGAUUAACAAUUUUGUCUUCUAAAUAGGAUAUGGGUUCAACUGGCAAAUUCUAUAGUGAUAUUUUUGGACAAAACACUAAGAAUUUGCGUUUCUUUUCAUUAAAUAGAAGAACGGUACAUGCCUCCUAGGAGGUGAGUUACAUCAUUUGUUACAUAGUUUAGUAGACGUCCCAAGUUCUUGGGAUGAUCACUCUUUGUCCAGCAGCCCCGGUUUUUGCCCAAAGUGCCGCCUCCACCCUAAUUCUCUCUACUAGCAGGGAAUUGGAGGUUGAUCCUUGUACAUGUAUCUUGGUGUGGCUUGCCUGGCCUUGAUCCAAAGAUCGCUAAGUGAGGCUUUGUCUUCGUCUUUAGGUGGUCUGCAUGUCAUUCGUAGCUAAUAGAGCGUCUCAUGCCACGCUUGCCUUGAGAAGGGACAAAAAAUCAACUACCUUCUGGCACCAAAUGGUGCCUGAUUAAUGGUAU